CUCUUAUCCUGAGCUGGUGGAGGGAGCAGACCCUAUGAAACCCAGCAACCUGCUAUGAAAUAGAGGGAAACAGAACGAUUUUCCCAAGAGCGAAGGUGCUAAACUGAGGCAAGGUGCAAACCUUGAACGAUAAGAG
rnacentral:ncRNA from 3 species